AUAGUUUCAGCAAAUCCGCAGGCAAUUUCUGUUUUUUUUUUUGUUUGUUUUUUUGUUUGUUUGUGCUUAAGCUGUAAAUUAGUCUGCUAAGUGUUUUUCCCUCUUUGUUUGCAGCUUCACGCAGCAAGAUGGAGCAAGAGGCUCGGAAAGAAUGCGCCAAACAUAUUAUAAACCUUCAAGAAUGUGCCCCCGACGGGAUAGCCUUUCAUGAGAUCUGGUGGAAGUGUCGCAAACAAAAAAAAGAACUGGAAAUUUGCCUGGGUCAAUACGGCAGGGAUACAGCUGUCUUGGAAGAGAUGAAAAGGGAGUAUAACCUACACCCAAAAGGAGGGAAAGGCCCAGCCGAACGUUGAGCGACCUGCAGAUUUUGCCUACAGUCUUGCUUGCGUAUGUUGGAAUCAAGAAGUCGUAGGCUUGUACCAUCUUCAGACAAGACCUUUAAGGUUUCCGUCGGAAGAUUUUCGUUUGGCAUACGUUGUCCGAACUAUAAUCAGGUGAACCUGAAAAUAUCUCGUUGCUGCAGAAUUCGUGCUUUGUAUCACAAGGCGUUAUGUUCUCUUUGUCCUUCCCCUCUUCGCUUCCAUCACCUUUGAGGCUGAAUUAAGUUUAUUAACAAUUUGCUACCUCUCUUUAGGAAUUACUCAUCUUAAUUACACUAA